GGAGAGAUGGCUCAGCGGUUAAGAGCACUGACUGCUCUUCCAGGGGUCCUGAGUUCAAUCCCCAGCAACCACA
rnacentral:tRNA from 1 species